UGACGAAUCAUAAGGAGCCACGAGACUCUCUCUCUGGUCAUGGACUAUGGCUGUAGUGCUUCUGAUUUAGAAGAACUUAAAUUCUCAGCUCCAAGGACCAAGGUGCCCCUUGGGAAUCAUGCUGUCAUCAGAGUUUGGGUAUAUGUUGCUAUGUGUAUAGCCCCUCGCCUCAUCUCUUCCGGAUUUCGUCCCUUCAGGCCUCUAAAGUCAAUAUCUUUGACCGCCCACCCCCACCAAUGGUACAGGCCAAAGGGUGGGCCGUGGGCGGGGCUGGAGCCCUCUGGGCGGGAGGGGGCGUAAAGACAAUACCAUAUUUGACCCAAAAAAACGGGGGGAAUCGGCGCUUCCAGAGCAAGGAGUUUCUUCCCAAAAACACUUGAUUUCCCAGGGUCCUCAUGACAACCGCUCUUGGUAAUUUCCUAAAGGAUUCACCGAUGAUCUGUGCGGAUGUGGCCACGUUCGGAGGUGCACUUGGGACGUCCAGAGCUGUCCGCUCCCCCCCCUCCAUCCCGGGCCGGAAGUUAAGGUUCUCCAGCUCGCACUUCCGGCUGGGAAGGGGCGGGGAGGCUGGUUACUAGGCGGCCAGCGUCUGCUUCUUCACCUGCAGUGUCUCUGCGCUCCUAGGUUUGAGUGUAUCCCGGGCCGGGCCCUUCCGCGGCCGUCACCGGGGAGCUACUUCCUUAUCUUCAUCCAGGGACCUAGGAUUGCCGCCACGUCGCCUAAGGGAUCCUCUUUUGUGCAGGAAUCGCCUUCACCACAGACUCAACAGACCUCUGUCUGUGCCACACCCUCCUGAAGCAUGUGACACACACCCCACCCAGCACCUUAUCCCAGAGAGGGGAGGGAAGAAGUGCUCCUCAUUGGGCUGCUGAGAGGGGCAGGGAGAAGGAGGCAGAAUAAGGAACAAUGGAAGGAAGCUGGCCCAAGAGGCACAGGCUUUCCUGAGGAUCCUUGGAUUCCGGUGUGCAGGUGGAGCCUGGAUGGAUGCUGGCAUCGGCAAACUCCCGAGCUUCCAUCAAGGCUGCUUCUGGAGCUCGGUAGCUGGCUGGCCCUUUCUCCCUCGUGAAGUUAUUUUGUGUGGCUUUAUUUACCCCUUGUAUUCCCUCACCUGUAUAUAAAUGGUAGUACAGUCCAGUUCAACGGAAGUAAAAACACAGAAGAAAAACGUAUGACUUAUCAUUUGUUUAUACGGGUAUAUGAUUGGGGGUUUGGGUUUAAAAGAUGGCUCUAUAGCAAAAAUGAAUAAUAUGGAAAUAGGUAUCAAGGGAUAACGCUUGUAUAACCCAGUGGGAUUGCUUAUUGGCUCUGGGGGUGGGGGGAAGAAAAUGAACCAUGGAAACAUGGAAAAAUAUUUUAAAAUUUAAAUUUUAAAAUCAAUCAAUCAAUUAAUUAAUUAAUUAAUGGAAACUCCCAGAGAGCAGUGAGUAAAUGGGGCUUUUUGUCUUUGUUUUCCUAUUUUCUAGCCUUUAAUCAUGGCUAAAGCAUUGACCUCCGAAUCCCUGAAUCCCAACUCUGAAGACAGGCUAAAAAGGCCAUCUAAGACUCUUAAUAGUCCUGUGACCCUGGGCAAGCUUUUGCUGACUGGGCCUCAGUUUCUUGAGGACAUUGGACAAUUGGCAGUUGAAUUUAAGGUGCUUACACUGGGAGCAAGGAUUGAUUUCCUUUGAUCUAUCUUUAUAGCACUUAGCACAAUUGCCUACAGAAGUACUAUUAGAAAGACCUUCCAGGGGCAGCUGGGUGGCUCAGUGGAUUGAGAGCCAGGCCUAGAGACAGGAAGUCCUGAGUUCAAAUGUGGCCUCAGAUACUUCCUAACUCUGUGACCCUGGGCAAGUCACUUAACCCCAAUUGCCUAUGUCUCACCACACUUCUGCCUUACAUAGUAUUGCUUCUGAGGUGGAAGUUAAGGGGAAGGAAGGAAGGAAGGAAGGAAGGAAGGAAGGAAGGAAGGAAGGAAGGAAGGAAGGAAGGAAGGAAGCCUCCAAAAAGGAACUGGAUGAUGUGAAAAUACAAUGCCUGUACUUGGCCCUAUAGAAGAAUUGAAAAAAUACAACUCCCUCCCUUAUUUGAAAAGGUUCAGGAAAAUGGGUCUGAAAUAUUGCAUGCAAUGUUGGUUUACUAGACUGGUCUUUUACCUUUCCUUGAAAUUUUUGUCCUGAGGGAUGGUUCCCUGAGUGUAGGAGAGGGGAGGGAUAUGUUCAGAAACAAAGAUGAUGUAAAAACAAAAUAUAUCAAUAAAAAUAAAUUUUGCCUCCCCACCCCCAGAA